CCUUGAUUUAUGAACAAAUAAUGAGAUUUAGCACUGUCCAAAGUGCCCUAAAUAUUGCUAACAAUAAUUGGCUCUUAAUAAUGGAUAACAUUGCCACUAAAAUAUUUUAAAGGUCAUAUUUAUUAUUUUCUUCUGAAUGACUUGAAGUAGAAUGAACAUGCAGCCAUUUCUUAGGCUACCAUGAGCAAAGCACAAUUUUGCUUAGGGAUAAGAUAUAUUUUGAGUGUUUAUUUUAAAUAUUUACUUGAGAUUUUUCUUAAUCUUUAGAAUUUAGAACGGUGGUUAUACAUCAGUUUUCCUUGAUUCUAGACUGGAAAGGAAUGAAGAUGUCACAGGGGUUCUGCUUUAAGGAAUCAGAAGCUCUGGUGUCAGCAGAAUUGAUGAGCUCUGCCCCUGGGGAACACCAACACAACUUCAUUGAAAGAGUUACAGGGAUUUCAUGUUUCGGAGGAAUUAUAUACAGAGGUUUCUGUUUGAAGUAGGUAGAGUAUGACUGCAUCUUUAAAAUCUUCUAAAGCAAGGGACGCACACCACUGCUGGAAUGCACAAUGGUUUGGAGUGGUGCAAGGGCAGUGAAAACUGAAGACCCACAACUCCCCAAAAUGAUGAGAAAAAGAAGAAAAGCCUGUAAAAAAUGGGAAAUCUUGAAUACCACAGUAUAGCUCAGAUUGUGACCAGGCCCACUAGAAACUGUUUCAGUACCUGAUGAGAGAGACCUUCCUACAGGCUAGAAGAGAGGCAAAUGGGAAUGGUGUAUCUCAGCCUGCUGGCUGAGCAUGCCAAGAAAAUAUAAAAGCUCUUGAAAACGAAGUCAAAGGAGACACCUUGGAGCCUGUGUUUCAUCAGACUGGGACAUUAGGGAAAUCUAAGGAAAAUGGAGAUGAGGGUAUGUCUGCUUCUGUGAAUGAAAAGCAGAAUUCUUCUUUUCUUCCUAAAGAUAAGAAACAGCAUCCAUCUGACAGCAAAAUACAUAGGAAGAAGGGAAAUGAUGAUCCUCCUUUGGCUGUCUCUCAUCAACUGGAGAAAGUCUUACCUAUGAUCAUAUUUAAUGACUAUGGAGAAUCAUUAUCAGAAAACAUUACAUUACAGAAUCUCCUAGGCACAGUAGAAGACUUUAAGCCAGCAAAAGGCAAAUUUAUUACAGAAGUGAAACGUGGGGCUUUCAAUGUGCAAAUAGAAAUCAAGAAAAACUUUGUCUGUAAACCAGGAAUACAGUUCCCAACAAAAAAAGAGACAUCCAAAAUGUUGCCAGCGUUGCUCUAUCAGACACAUUCAGAGAUGCUACCCUUCUAGGAGCUGCUUUCCUAAACGUAAGAAUAUAUUGGUGGAAGAACUAAAACCUGAGGUGCCGUCUAAACAUGAAGGAGAAAUUGCCAGAACCGACAGCCCCUUGCUGAAAGUAACCAUUGAAAGAAAAGAAAUUAAAGUCAACUACAUGACUAAGACACAGAAUAUAUUAAUUAAUGUAACUCAUCCUAAAAGAAAGGAAAAAAGUAACUAAAUACAGAAACAUUUCCUCCAAUCACACCACUAAAGAACCUUUCAGGUCUCCAUCACAGUCUGGUAUUAGGCAUCCUGAAAUGUGGCAGCUUGAAAACAAGCAUCAGAGUUGAGAUUGUUUGUGUGUCUCUUCUUCUGGCAUGUGUGCUGUCCAGAAGGAGAAGAAUUUUGAUACAGUGGUGAUUUAUCUAACCUCGACUCUGGAGAGAAAGAAAAAUAAGCCUGGCACACUAUCUACAGUCUUAGAAGAUUGUGAGGUAGAAUCUGCUAUCUCUCGGCAGAAGGUCUUUAAAAUUAGUCAGAACACCCCCAGAAAGAAACAUUUCUCUGAGUCUAAGACUCUUCUCAAAAAAAUUCUUCCUACUUCACAUAAUACCCAAAAGACCACAAGUUUAAGUAAUGCAGAUUUAAGUAAAAUGCCUUUCGAGGAUUCUAAGGAUGUGGAAAAAGAGAGAAAAAUCAACUUUGAUAUCCCAGGAAAUAUCACAUCAGACUCACAUGUACAGCAAAGCACAGAAGGAAUAAAUUAUUUGCCAAGUACCAUUACUGACAUCUUUCCACUCAAGAUGGCAAAAACUUCACCUUUAGUUCUUCAUCUUCUGUGAGUAUGUAGCUCAUAGAAGCAAAGGUAGCCAACAUCUACUGCAAAGGAAGCAAGACUCCACCUGCAGAAUGCUGUGAGAACUCAAAUUCUGUAUCUUUCCCUCCCACUCAAACUUCUCUGCAGUCUUGCACCUCAUUCAGCCCACCUCACUGGGCCACCAGACAUUUGAAACCUAAGGAAAACCCUGAGAGUACAUUUUCUUUUAAUCAUUGUGCUGUGUGUGUGAUAGAUUAUGAGAAGGAGCAGAUUAAUGUGACUGGCAGAGACUUUAACAAAGCCAUUUUACAUAGUGACUCUCAUGCUAAAGCACAGCAACUACUGGAAAGGAAGAUUACACUGUGUCUUAAUCUCAGGCCUGCUUCUGGCAGCAGCCUAGCAGCUAAGAGCCCACGCAACGGUAUUAGCCACAGCACUGUGGAAUGGAACCAAACAGAGUCACAGCAAGUCAUCCAGAGAUAGCAGCCCCGACCAAAACAAAAGCACUAGUUAUGACCUUCAUAACUGAUGAGUUAGAGCAAAAAUUGAUUAUUCAAGAUGAUAAAGAAACUAGUUUUUUCUAAUUGUCCCAUGGGAAUGAAAAACCGUAAAGAGUCACCCAGCUCUCUGGAAAAUGUUGAAAAAGACAAAUGCCAGAUAAUACCCGUGGUGAAUAAUGCAUACCACAGAGAUUUUGAAGACCUGUCAAAUGAGAAUCGUGACAAAGUCUGUUUUCAAAUGCAUUUUUCAGCAAACACUGCUGAGUCCAACUGUGCAGUGUGUGCUUCAGAUAAUCUGUUUCUUAUUGAAAAAACACUGACCAAUGAUGUGGACCUACAUGGUAACCAAGAUAAAGAAAACCUUGGACUAACUAGUUUAAACAGGAGCCAGUACAGUGCCAAAGGAUUGCAUCAACAGGGCCAAAUACUGAAGAGGAUGAGAACAAAAAUGACUCAAAGGAAAAUUACUGUUACCAAAUACACACGUUGAUGCCACCUCAGAAGCAAGCUUUGAAAGAUUGGUAUUUGGAAAUAAAUAGUCUCCAAAAGUUAUCCCAGGAAUUGGUUCCAAGAGGUGGAAGAGCUAGUGAUGGUUCCCAGGAAGAAGCAAUUGACCAGUGGGCCAGAAGGAGGCAGCAAUACAAAGAAGGCAAAAAACCCGGUUCAGCAGCAGGGAGCUUAUUUGCCAGCAAUAUCACAGAAGAAUCCAGUG